rnacentral:rRNA from 1 species
CACGUAGGCGGAUUUGUAAGUCAGGGGUGAAAUCCCGGGGCUCAACCUCGGAACUGCCUUUGAUACUGCAAAUCUCGAGUCCGGAAGAGGUGAGUGGAAUUCCUAGUGUAGAGGUGAAAUUCGUAGAUAUUAGGAAGAACACCAGUGGCGAAGGCGGCUCACUAGUCCGGUACUGACGCUGAGGUGCGAAAGCGUGGGAGCAAACA